UACGUAGGGGGCAAGCGUUGUCCGGAUUUAUUGGGCGUAAAGAGCGUGUAGGCGGCCAGGCAAGUCUGCUGUGAAAACUCGAGGCUCAACCUCGAGACGUCGGUUGAAACCAUCUGGCUAGAGUCCGGAAGAGGAGAGUGGAAUUCCCGGUGUAGCGGUGAAAUGCGCAGAUAUCGGGAAGAACACCCGUGGCGAAGGCGGCUCUCUGGAACGCAACUGACGCUGAGACGCGAAAGCGUGGGGAGCAAACAGG
rnacentral:rRNA from 1 species